rnacentral:lncRNA from 1 species
UUUUUUUUAGGGUCACACCUGCAGCACAUGUAAGUUCUCAGGCUAAGGGUCAAAUCAGAGCUGCAGCUGCCGGCCUAGCCACAGCCGCAGCAACAUGGGAUCCGAGCCACAGCAGAGACCUACACCACAGGUUGAGGCAACACUGAAUCCUUAACCCACUGAGCAGGGACAGGGAUUGAACCCAUGUUCACAGAUACUAGUCAGGUUCAUUACUGCUGAGCUGCAAUGGGAAUUCCUGCAGCAUCCUAAUUUUUAUUAUUCUUCUAUUAUUGAAAUUUAAGUUGCUUCCUUUGUUUUUUUUUCUUAGUUACAAUAUUAGUUGGUAUUUGGAUAUUAUUUUAUAUAGACAUUUUAGGUGUUGUUUUUUUUUUUUGGUCCUUUUGCCAUUUCUUGGGCCACUCCCAUUGAGGCAAAUAGACGUUCCUAGGCUAGGGGUCAAAUCGGAGCUACAGCUGCCGGCCUACACCACAGCCACAGCAAUGCCAGAUCCAGGCUGCGUCUGUAAUACACACCACAGCUCAUUGCAACACCAGAGCCUUAACCCUGAGAGAGGCCAGGGAUCGAACCUGAAACCUCAUGGUUCCUAGUUGGAUUUGUUUCUGCCGUGCCACAACGGAAACUCCUUAAUCGACUUCUUAAAGGGGGUCUGUGGGAUGCUGAAAUUUCAGAUCCAAAAAGGUUUUUCCUAUUUCUUCAAGCCUUACUGAUCUUUGCCUCUCUGGGAUAUAUUCCUGGAAUAGCUCUGCAUAAAAACUUAAUUGUUAAUUAAUGACUUCAAGGAAAUUAUUCUGUUUCUCCAACUUUUAGGAAAGAUACAUGUAAACAGUGGCCAUAAGGAAUAAAAAAAAAAAAAAAAAAAGAACAAACCAGAGAUAAUUUAGAAGGGGCAUUUAGGAUGACGCCUGGUAUGUUUGGAAUCCAAAAAAAAAAAAAAAAGGCAGCUAUUAUUGGCUAUUACUCAAAUACUUAUCAGAUUAUAGGCAAUGUAGCAUGGGCUCAAGAGGCCAACUAAGGUUGAAUCCUGAUUCUGGUAUUUAUUAGCUGUGUGACCUUGGGUGAGUUGCUUAGAUUCUAUCUUCUUUUCCUCAUCUCUAAAAUUCUGAUAAUAGGAGUUCUGAGUGGAAAUGAAUCUGACUAGGAACCAUGAAGUUGCAGGUUUGAUCCCUGGCCUCGCUAGGUGGGUGAAGGAACCACUUGCCAUGAGCUGUGGUAUAGGUUGCAGACGCGGCUCAGAUCUGGCAUUGCUGUGGCUGUGGUGUAGGCCAUCAGUUAUAACUUCGAUUCAACCCCUAGCCUGGGAACCUCCCUAUGCCUUGGGUGUGGCCCUUAAAAAAAAAAAGAAAGAAAGAAAGAACUGUUUUAAGAGUUUAUUAACCUCUUUCAGUAGGGAAUUUAACGAGGUUCAGUGAAGUAACAUUCCCAAAGGGACCCAGCUGAUAAGUGUAUUAACUAAAAUUCAAAUGCAAACCUGACUUCCUUUACAUUGCUAUUUACUGUCUGAUAUAAAUAUCCAUGAUCUGAAGGUUAGUAAAUCUUAGCAUUUUACUACCUAAAAAGAAAUCAGAAAAGAAUAAAAGCAUAGGUGUUCAUUCAACAUUGAACAGUGAUAGACCACAGAUAAAGCUCACUUGGAUUUAUUUUUCCUCUGUUUGAAAGGAUUUAUCUUGAUCUUUGAAGCCAUCAAGCAUGAAGGGUGAAAGUAGGGCAUCAAUUGUUUAGAUUUUGUACAUAGUUCUUUUGUUUGUCUGUUUUUGCUUUUUCAGGGCCGCACCUGCAGCAUAUGGAGGUGCAGUCCUAAAAAGAUAAAAAAAUAAAAUAAAUAAAUAAAUAAAUAAACAAACCACUGGUUUUGGAACCAGCAAGAAUUUUGAUCCCCUACUACUAGCUGUGUGACCUUGAAUAUGUUACUUAACAUCUUUGAGCCUCAUUUUCUGCAUCUGUAAAGUGGGGGUAAUAGUACCUAUUACAUAAUUAGUUGUUAUGAGGAUUAAAUGAGGCCAUGUGGUUGACUUAUGAUUAUCAAAAUUAUUUGGGAGUUACUAGGAGCUUGAGAAAGCUCCCAAGCUUGAGAAAAUGAGGCAAGUAAAAUUGCUUUUCAGAAGUGGAAGAUCUGAGACUGAAAGGUUCUUAGGCUGGCAAUAAUGUCUUUGGAGAAACACUGGAGUAUUUAGGAGGAAGAGUAAAUACCCCAGGUUAUCCU